rnacentral:lncRNA from 1 species
CUCUGGCGGCGCAGGAGGACGAGGGAAUGAUCGAUGGGAGUGGGGUGUGCACUAGGGUUAGAAAGCUUCGGUGGGCUUUGGCCUUGGGGAAAGGUUGGGCCGGCGUAGGAGGUAGGGAGGCCCAGGCUGCUGGGCUAGGCUGAACUCCUCUCUCUCAUUCCUCUCUAAUUUGCUUUAACCAAAAAAACAAAUAGAGAGAAGAAAAAAAAUAAAGAGAGGGUUAGGGAAAGAAUAUUUCAGAAAAUAAAAUAUUCUUGGAGCGCCGGAACUUUGCACAAAUAGAAUAAAAUGGUUUGGCAAUAUUUUAGAGAUAGAAAAAUAAUUCAAGUUUGAAUUAGAUUCAAACCUGAGCCAUUAAAAUAAUUCAAGUUUGAAUUAGAUUCAAACUUGAGCCAUUUUUGAAU